rnacentral:lncRNA from 1 species
CUUGAUUGUAUCUUUAUUGUGCUCAUCACGUAAGGAACCUUUGAGGAAUGCUUUGAAUUGUUGUAUGCGUUUUCCCAUCCAAUUCAUUAACUUAAGGAGAACUUGAAGGUUAAUUUAAGCGUAUCUAAUUAACGUGGGGUGUUGAGUUUCAUAAUUUAUUGGAAGAACAACUGAAAAUCAUUUUGUUUGCAAGUGGGUCAUGUGUGGAGAAGAACCUCCUAACUAGCCUUUUAUCCAUCCUUUUUAUCCGAAACGUUUUACAAUCUGUUUUGUUUUAAAGUUUCUGUUUUGUUUUCAAUUUUCGUCCAAAACAAAUCCCCCUUUAUUUUGAAGUCUUAGAUUAGUUAGAAAGUGUUUUGAUUUGUGUUUUUAAGUGUUUUGAGUCAAGUUAUAACAUACAUUCGUCCAAAUUUGUGUUAGUAUUCAAAACUGCCCAGAUUGUGCUUCUAAGGUAGUUUUGAGUGUUUAUUUGCUGUUUUGGUUCCUUUGCUUUGUUUUGGUGUUUUAACUUUUAAUUUUACAUUCUUUGAGUCUAGUUUAGUGUUUUAAACUUUGUUUUUACAUUAUUGAGUUAGUUGUCAAGAGUUUAGCAAUCCCUCCUAAUCCCCGGUUUAGAACGAUCCCUACUUAUUCAUACUACAAUUGUCAACAAGAGGGUUUAAUUUGUGUGUUAAGUUAAUUUACACAUCACUAGUCAUUUGUAAACAAAAUGCUUUAUGACAUUAAUACAACCUAGCUAAAACAAAGUUCAACAUCAAAAUGCCUUAUGGCAUUAGUUUACCCCGUUGAAAGUUAAAUUUACCAUACUGAAAUUAAAGUUCAAACAAAGUUCUUCAAUAUGCUUUAUGGCAUUAGUACAACCCGAAGAAAAAAAAUUGUUUAUGCAAUUCAACAAAAAAGUUUUGGUGCUUCAAGUCACUACCUCAACAUUUUUCUUUCCCUUUCUUUUUGGACAUUUACUCUUUGAAGGUUUAGGAGGCCUUUGAACUUGUGAAAAGAUUUGAGAAAGCAUUGGAACUUGAGAAAGCGAUACGUAGAAAAGCAUAGUAACACUUUUUAUAACAUUAACGAGCAUACGACAUUGUUGUUUACAUCAAAAUUUGAUUGUUAAAUCUAUAACCUUUACAAUCCAGCUAAUUGAUGUACUUUUUAAUUGAAGUAUUGCCACAAUUGUUAAAUUUGACUCUAAAAAUAAAGAGUAGUGAGGACUACAUAUGAUCCAAUGUUGCAACAAAUUAGGUUUGACUCUCCUUUGCUAAAAGUUUAUCUUUUCCCGUUAUCUUACCAUUUUUCCCCUCUCCAAUCCUCAUCCCUUUGUGGUAAUAUAUAACAUAAAUUACACGUCUCCAUUUGCUCUCUAAUAUUAUUUCAUUAAAUUCAAAGAAAAAAAGAAAAAAGAUGAGAAAUUGCGUCAAACCAUCUCCAACUCUUGGGUUAAAGCCUAAAUUUAGGUUUUAAACUAACCCAAUGGAGAUGUGUAGUUUGUGUUACCUUCUGUUGUUCUCCCUCCAUUGGUGUUCUCUUUUCUCUAAUGGUUUCUCCCUCCUUAUGUAGGUAAAUGGUUCUUCUCUAGGCUUUAAGGGAAUCUCCCUUUGUGGCUUGGUCUUCCCCUCAUUUCUCCCUAACUUUUCUAUUAUUCCCCUUUUGGGGUAAGAUAGCUACACUAUAACGACUUGCAGUUUGCUUCUUCCUGAGGCACGACUUUUCGCAAGUGCUACUUUUGGUAGCACGCUUCAUGGCUUUCACGCAUUGGCUGUCUGUGCAAGCUAGGAAGGGAAAGUCAAUAUUGAAUGCCUGACUUGUUGGGUUUAGCAUGCAUUUAAUGCAAGAAUCUAGUUUAGUUUUAACUAAGGGGGUUGACUCGCUAGGGAAAGUGGUAAACUAGGCUAGUUCUCUCUCAAUGAUGCCUGCAUGAAAUGUAAAAGGUAUAGGCU